UUUGACCUCGGAUCAGGUAGGGAU
rnacentral:ncRNA from 3 species